rnacentral:rRNA from 1 species
UACGGAGGGUGCAAGCGUUAUCCGGAUUUACUGGGUUUAAAGGGUGCGCAGGCGGAUAUGUAAGUCAGUGGUGAAAUCUCCGGGCUUAACCCGGAAACUGCCGUUGAUACUAUAUAUCUUGAAUGCUGUGGAGGUAAGCAGAAUAUGUCAUGUAGCGGUGAAAUGCUUAGAGAUGACAUAGAACACCUAUUGCGAAGGCAGCUUACUACGCAGAUAUUGACGCUCAUGCACGAAAGCGUGGGGAUCAAACAGG